rnacentral:tRNA from 1 species
CUUAAGCAAAGGUUAAAUCCCUUUAGUUUCUG